rnacentral:lncRNA from 1 species
AUGAACUUGUCACCAUUUAGCCCUCUACAUAUUCCAAUCAUGCCAGGGGCGUAGUGCAGGCCACACCUGGUCUUUCUCUUAUACAUAACAUAACAUACAUAACCAAUGGUGCCGGGGGCGUAGUGCAGGCCACAUCCGGUCUUUCUCUUACAUAGUGCAAGGGGCGUAGUGCAGGCCACACCUGGACUUCCAUAUCAUAUCAUCACGUCAUAACAUAUGAGGGCUAAUGGAUCAUUCAACGUUCAUCCACAUCAACAACAUAUUAUGCAAUGCAACAUAUUCAUGAUUUCUAAUGCAAACAACC